rnacentral:tRNA from 1 species
GGUUCCGUAGCUCAAUGGAUAGAGCAACUGCCUUCUAAGCAGUAGGUUACAAGUUCGAUCCUUGUCGGAAUCA